GACCCUCCCCCUUGGGUUCAAUUCUGUGCUGGUAGGAAGGGACAGUGCAAGGUCCUCGUGGCCCAAGCAACUAAGGGACCCAAGCAACCCAUUCAUCAGGACCUGGAGAAGGAGCUGCCACUGCCUUAUGUCCUUCCGGCACGAUCAGCUCCCAGCCCAUCCGCCUUGCUUGAUACUCCACACACAAAAGCGGGAGAUCUGAGCACCCUCCCUGGUAGCUAGAUCAGUGUGCAUGCUGCAGAGAGGGGAAACUGGAAGAAUGAGUACCUCUAGUGGACGGUCCCAGAUGGGGCCGUCCCGAGGGAGGGCAGAAUACCAGCCAGAGCCUAGCCAGGCCCACCUGAUCGGCUUGGCCGGGAUGGACUCAGACUAGGACGGGCCAGGCUCUAUGAAACUUGGCCCCGGGAGCCCAUGGUCAAGAUGAAGGUCGAAGGCCACCCAAUGACUUUUAUGGUAGACCCUGCAGUGGAGUACUCGGUGGUCACCACUCUGGUUGCCCCAUUUAGUAACUGGAAGGCAACUGUUGUGGGAACAACAGGUGACCAGGCAGAGCCCCGGCCAUUCUGCCAAGAUCGGAUAUGCCAAUUAGGGGGGCACCAGGGGACCAGCCAGUCUGACUUUGAGUGAGCCAAAGGGGGGCCUGGUCCUGGCAGUCACACUUCCAUGUGAGGAAGAAUGGAAACUGCACACUGUCGAGAGGUCAGAG